rnacentral:misc_RNA from 1 species
AUCACAAAAUAAGGGUCUACAAGUAUAUAUACAUAAUUUUUUUUUUUAAAAAGAAAUUGAGGGGGUCAAAUGACCCCACUCUCUUAAAGCUAAAUCCGCCCUUGCCUUUCUAACAGAUCUUAAUUUUGCUAUAAAACAAAAAUAAUAAUAAGCAAGCAUGUCUGGUAAUAGUAUGAAUUUUCAUUUCACAUGAGAAGCAAAAAAAUUAUCAAGAAAAGUAUUUUUAAUAGUUGGCUUUUAAAAAAUAUUUAAUCAAACGCUGCCAUAAAACAUAAAACCAACUUUAACAAGUUAAUCAAAUUGUGCCUUGUUUUAAGAGUCUUGACUUAUUAACUAUUAGAAGGCUAGUUUGUAUAUAAAUUAAAGAUGAA